UAACGGCCCACCCAAGCCGAAGAUCCGUACGGGCUUGUGAGAGCAGGAGCCCCGGAGAUGGAUCCUGAGACAAAGGUCCCAGGCCCUACGGGGCGCAGCAGGCGCGAAAACUCCGCAAUGCACGAAAGUGUGACGGGGUCAGCCAGAGUGUCCGUGCAUCGCGCGGACUGUCCAGGUGUUUAAAGUGCACCUGAAAGCAAGGGCUGGGCAAGGCCGGUGGCAGCCGCCGCGGUAAUACCGGCAGCCCGAGUGGCGGCCACUAUUAUUGGGCUUAAAGCGUCCGUAGCCGGCCCGGCAAGUCCCCUGGGAAAUCUGGCCGCCUAACGGUCAGACUGCUGGGGGAUACUGCCAGGCUUGGGACCGGGAAAGGCUGAGGGUAUUCCCGGGGUAGGGGUGAAAUCCUGUAAUCCCGGGAAGACCACCUGUGGCGAAGGCGCUCAGCUGGAACGGGUCCGACGGUGAGGGACGAAGGCCUGGGGAGCGAACGGGAUUAGAUACCCCGGUAGUCCAGGCUGUAAACUAUGCGGACUAGGUGUCACUAGAGCCACGAGCUCUGGUGGUGCCGUAGGGAAACCGUUAAGUCCACCGCCUGGGAAGAACGGUCGCAAGACUGAAACUUAAAGGAAUUGGCGGGGGA
rnacentral:rRNA from 1 species